rnacentral:rRNA from 1 species
GUAGUUUGACUCCGUGGCUACAGAACGACGCUGGCGGCGUGGAUAAGACAUGCAAGUCGAACGGGAGAAUUGCUAGCUUGCUAAUAAUUCUCUAGUGGCGCACGGGUGAGUAACACGUGAGUAACCUGCCCCCGAGAGCGGGAUAGCCCUGGGAAACUGGGAUUAAUACCGCAUAGUAUCGAAAGAUUAAAGCAGCAAUGCGCUUGGGGAUGGGCUCGCGGCCUAUUAGUUAGUUGGUGAGGUAACGGCUCACCAAGGCGAUGACGGGUAGCCGGUCUGAGAGGAUGUCCGGCCACACUGGAACUGAGACACGGUCCAGACACCUACGGGUGGCAGCAGUCGAGAAUCAUUCACAAUGGGGGAAACCCUGAUGGUGCGACGCCGCGUGGGGGAAUGAAGGUCUUCGGAUUGUAAACCCCUGUCAUGUGGGAGCAAAUUAAAAAGAUAGUACCACAAGAGGAAGAGACGGCUAACUCUGUG